rnacentral:rRNA from 1 species
ACUCCUUCGGAUAGCCUCCGAAGGGAGAUAUAAAGAUGGUAUUCAAUUCCGCAUGUUAUUUGAAUUAAAGAUUUAU